rnacentral:rRNA from 1 species
GAUGAACGCUGGCGGCGUGCCUAAUACAUGCAAGUCGAGCGAACGGACGAGAAGCUUGCUUCUCUGAUGUUAGCGGCGGACGGGUGAGUAACACGUGGAUAACCUACCUAUAAGACUGGGAUAACUUCGGGAAACCGGAGCUAAUACCGGAUGAUAUUUUGAACCGCAUGGUUCAAAAGUGAAAGACGGUCUUGCUGUCACUUAUAGAUGGAUCCGCGCUGCAUUAGCUAGUUGGUAAGGUAACGGCUUACCAAGGCAACGAUGCAUAGCCGACCUGAGAGGGUGAUCGGCCACACUGGAACUGAGACACGGUCCAGACUCCUACGGGAGGCAGCAGUAGGGAAUCUUCCGCAAUGGGCGAAAGCCUGACGGAGCAACGCCGCGUGAGUGAUGAAGGUCUUCGGAUCGUAAAACUCUGUUAUUAGGGAAGAACAUAUGUGUAAGUAACUGUGCACAUCUUGACGGUACCUAAUCAGAAAGCCACGGCUAACAACGUG